UACGUAGGGAGCAAGCGUUGUCCGGAAUCAUUGGGCGUAAAGCGCGCGUAGGUGGCCUCAUAAGUCCGAUGUGAAAGUCAAAGGCUCAACCUUUGAAAGCCGAUGGAUACUGUGAGACUAGAGUACGGAAGAGGCGAGUGGAAUUCCUGGUGUAGCGGUGGAAUGCGCAGAUAUCAGGAGGAACACCAAUAGCGAAGGCAGCUCGCUGGGACGUUACUGACACUGAGGCGCGAAAGCGUGGGGAGCGAACAGG
rnacentral:rRNA from 1 species